AUCCCAAAAAUAUCAGUGUCGUGUGAGAAAAAUGGCAAUAUAUUAAAAAUUUUAACGAAAAAUGGCAAACAAAUUUAAAAAUGACCUAAAAUGGGAAAUUACGCAAAAUUGGUCCUCGUUAGGUCAAAACGGACUUUGGAUUUGGAAUCAGCGACCCCAAAAACUAAAAUUACCGUCGAAAAAUUCUAUGGACAUAAUUUCAAAAAAAAUCGCAA
rnacentral:misc_RNA from 1 species